AGCUCAGCAGGAUAGAGCGUUGCCCUCCGAAGGCAAAGGUCACACGUUCGAAUCGUGUCGGGUGCGCCA
rnacentral:tRNA from 1 species